rnacentral:rRNA from 1 species
GACGAACGCUGGCGGCGUGCUUAACACAUGCAAGUCGAACGGAAAGGCCCUGCUUUUGUGGUGUUCUCGAGUGGCGAACGGGUGAGUAACACGUGAGUAACCUGCCCUUGACUUUGGUAUAACUUCAGGAAACUGGGGCUAAUACCGGAUAGGAUCUCCUGCUGCAUGGUGGGCGUUGGAAAGUUUCGGCGGUUGGGGAUGGACUCGCGGCUUAUCAGCUUGUUGGUGGGGUAGUGGCUUACCAAGGCUUUGACGGGUAGCCGGCCUGAGAGGGUGACCGGGCACAUGGGGACUGAGAUACGGACCAGACGCCUACGGGAGGCAGCAGUGGGGAAUAUUGCACAAUGGGCGGAAGCCUGAUGCAGCAACGCCGCGUGCGGGAUGACGGCCUUCGGGGUGUAAACCGCUUUCGCCUGUGACGAAGCGUGAGUGACGGUAAUGGGUAAAGAAGCACCGGCUAACUACGUG